rnacentral:sRNA from 1 species
UUAACAGGGUUUCUAAAUCACUUUUGUGGC